AUAUCAAUAAGCGGAGGAAAAGAAACUAACAAGGAUUCCCUUAGUAGCGGCGAGUGAAGCGGGAAGAGCUCAAAUUUGUAAUCUGGCUGUCUUUCGAUAGUCCGAGUUGUAAUCUAUAGACGUGUUUUCCGUGCUGGACCGUAUCUCAAGUCCCUUGGAACAGGGUAUCAAAGAGGGUGACAAUCCCGUGCUUGAUACGACCACCAGUGCUCUGUGAUACACGCUUCUACGAGUCGAGUUGUUUGGGAAUGCAGCUCAAAAUGGGUGGUAAAUUCCAUCUAAAGCUAAAUAUUGGCGAGAGACCGAUAGCGAACAAGUACCGUGAGGGAAAGAUGAAAAGCACUUUGGAAAGAGAGUUAAACAGUAC
rnacentral:rRNA from 1 species